CAGUGGCAAGCUGCUCGGAUCCCAGCCCACGGUGUGGAAGCUUUGUUCUUUCGCUCUUUGCAAUAAAUCCUGCUGCUGCUCACUCUUUGGGUCAACACUACCUUUCUGAGCUGUGACGCUCACUGCGAAGGUCUGCAGCUUCACCCCUGAAGCCAGCAAGACCACGAACCCACCGGGAGGAACUAACAACUCCAGACGCGCCGCCUUAAGAGCUGUAACACUCACCGCGAAGGUCCGCAGCUUUACUCCUGAGCCAGCGAGACCACGAACCCACCAGAAGGAAGAAACUCAGAACACAUGCGAACAUCAGAAGGAACAAACUCCAGAGGCGCCACCUUAAGAGCUAUAACACUCACCGCGAGGGUCCGCGGCUUCGUUUUUGAAGUGAGACCAAGAACCCACCAAUUCCGGACAUGCGUGGACUCACUGAGAAGCAGCAAGUUGGCGUUGACUUAGCCCGCUCAGUGUGCAGAGUGGGUUGAAGAAAAGAAUAGACCACAUCAGAGGAGUAAAGGGGUGGGGGCAAAAGCCAGAGAAGGUGGGACCUUGGAAUCACUGGAAUGACUUUGCUUCCACGGGCCAGGUGGAGAUGUGUGCCUGGGUCGGUAUAAACCUCUCUCUGUGUUUCAAGAACACACCUUUGGGAAGGUGACAGUGUGGUGGUGGGACAGCAAACUGCCAGUCUAGAAAGCUACUCCAGGCCUCAGUUUCUCAUCUGUGGAAUUAAGACAUUGGCCUGUAGAUCCAUGGGAUCCAUCAGGGAUCACCCCAGCUCUAAGCAUCUAUGAUACCGUGGGAAUGGAGAUGAAGAUAUUUCAUUUAACAUCUGGUCAAGAGUCCAAGUAAACAGCUCACGUGAUGUCCUUCAAGAGCCAGCCAUACUCUGGGGCUUAUCGUCUUGGCAGAAAAAGCAACUGUCCAGAGGUCAAACAAGGGCCUGUUUCCUCCCCUGCGAGCCAGCUGAGACCUUCCAUUCCCAGACUGAGUUUCAGUCCUUUAGUUUAGCCUUAAGGCUUUGUUCCCUAAUAAAAUGCAACACACUGGAAAGACUGCCACUAAGUUACUCUCAGAUUUACUUUACAAGGAUGAGUUGAGAUCAACUUUUGAUGAGCAGAGGAGGGCCAAAUAGACCAUGUGUCCUUGGGAGGGAAGAGCUGUGUCCCUGGGAUGGGGAGCAUUUUGGAACCAGAGGUUGGAAGCACCAAAGCCGAACAGUUCCUUCUCACCAGUGCUUCCCAGGCAGAGCCUCACAAAACAGCACAAUUGUGGCAAUUCCCCUGUGAGGCUUCUUUAAGAACCCUAUUUUCCCUGGUUUAAGUAAACUCAAAUAUUUCAUUUGUAUUUCUGUAAGCACACAUUUUCAACUCUUGCUGCCUUCUUGGCUGUUGAAUGACUGUCAUCACCAUGUGUAGAAUCAUGGAUCUAAGAAUCCUCAGUGUCACUUAGUCCAACUUUCUUCCCCAAAUAGUCUCUUCUAGGAUAUCUUCCCCAUUGAUGGCCACUAUGUAGGUGCUUGAACCUUUGCAGUAACAAGGACUUCAUUGCUUCAUAAGGCACUGUGUUACAUGAUGGACUAUUGUAUUUUUAGGAAGUUCUUUUUAUUGAAUCAAACUUUAUCUCUCUAAACAUCAAUUGAUCAUUUCUAGUCUCCCAGAAUUACUUUGGUUAAUGGAUCUCAAAGUCUAAAUUCAAACAUUGUCACCUAAGCAUUGAGGUCCUCCCCUUUUUUGUUCCUCUCACUAGUCUAGUUUUAUGAACAAUCCUAUGAAACCUCGAUGACCACACAUCUGACAAGCCCAUUACUGUUUCAAAAGGAAAGGAAGGUAGGGAUCUACAAGCUAAUGUCUCCAAAGCAGAUCUUAGCACAAUUCUGAUUCUGCAUCCAGCACAUGACAUUCUCCCUGGAGAUAAUCCCAAUGCCUGCUUAAUAGGUUAGAGUCCCAGCGUUUAAUAUCUGACCGCAUUAAGAGUUUUUAACAUCUCACUUAAAAUUAAUCCAUAACAGAUAUUUUUGACAUAAAACUCAAAAGGAAAUAGCUUCCUACCCAAAUUAACUACAAAAUCGGGAAAAACUUUAAAAGUUUCUGUAUUAGACUGUACACAAGCCUGCCUACUGUAUUUAACUGGACUCUUCAUGACAUCUAGUGGCGAAAUCUGGAAAAGUUUCCAGUACUCUAAACGUGGCAGAAGGUGGGAAAACAAUUUUUAAUCCUAUUUGAUAUUCACUGUUUGAAUAUUAUGUUUUGUGAAAUCGUAAACUGAAUUCAUCUGUCAAUCCAUUAUAAUAGUAUACUCAUUUUUAUUUUAGGCAUAUCUGUGGCUUUAUACCUUUUAAAUUUGGGCUGACUUUGAAAUCAAUCACAUCUAUUUUUUCACGGAUGUCAGAAAGAACCACAUUGGUUUAGGGGGAGAAAAACAUUCUGGAUAAGCAUAAAUAACAACAUUUUUAGCUGGAAACACACCACAAAAAUGUUUUGCAUAACUGUAUUCAUCUUCAAAUGUAGUUUUAAGACUCAAUUCCUGUGAAAUCUGAGUCAUUUAUAGCUAACCUUGAAUGUAUUGUUAUUCACAAUUAGAAGUAGAUAAAUUUCACAGGCAGAGAAGCUGACAAGUCUUUAAGACUUCACACUUAGUUUUGCAGGAAGAGCUGAAGUUAAUUAGAAGUGAUUAUACAUACAUUGCAUGUGUGUGUGUAUUUGUGUUGUUGCACACAGACACCACGAAGGCCUUGGGAAGGUUGCAUUUUUUAUGUUUUAAAAAUAAACAUAAUCUCCUUCCCAUGUGUUGCUAUAAGCCCAGUAAAUCUAGGAAGCUCAGCAGGGUUGAACAAGGUCAUUUCUCGUCAGGACUCCAAGGGGGAGCAGGAAGCAACCCUGUGCAUCAGAUGCUGGCAUCCUAAUCCCUGCUCAGCAAGAGCUUCCCAGGCAUGUGGGACAGGUCGUGCCAGCGCCGACACACUGGCAGACCGAGGCUCUGACGCCAGCCACGCUCCGUAUCAGCACUGCGGCUCCCUACCUACCGUGCCCCUGGAAGACGAAAAUAUAUCCUCACUCUCACAGUAAAGGCAGGAUUCCAACCGAGUCUGCUCACUUCUUGGUUCUGGUAAACAGGAAAGUAGUCAUGAAAAGAUACAUCUAAUCACUAUCUCAGAAUCAGGGAGGCUUUAUUGAUUUGGUUUUUUGUCGAAUUUAAAUAUAUGUUAAAUAAAUAUAUAAAGAUAUGUAAAUUAUUUUGUUGAAUUUAAGAUAUAUAUUUAAAACAAAUGGAUAAUUAAUGCAUAUUUAAAUUCAACAAAACCCAAAACAAAUGAAGAAAAAAAUAUAGAUAUAUAUCUCCAUAGAUCUUCUGCUACAGAGAAGAAACAGAACAUAUACCAAAAGACAUUAUAAACAUGUAGGUAAAAACAACUCCAAAAUAAUAUAUAAGAAACAGAGAGUGGUGUUUCCCUGUGAGAAAGAUCUGGAGACUAGAAGUGAGGGUAGAGAUAUGGAGAUGAGGAAAUCAUUUUUCUCUGUAUACUUAUACUCUUUGAAAACUAGCUGUAUUACCUAGUAAGAAAUAUAUUUCAGCCGGGCGCAGUGGCUCAUGCCUGUAAUCCCAGAACUUUGGGAGGCUGAGACAGGUAGAUCACUUGAAGUCAGGAGUUUGAGACCAGCCUGGCCAACAUGGCAAAAUCCUGUCUUUACUAAAAUUACAAAAAAAUUAGCCAGCUAUGGUGGUGUGCACCUGUCAUCCCAGCUAUCGGGAGGCUGAAGCAGGAGAAUUGCUUGAACCCAGGAGGAGGAGGUUCUGGGUAGCCAAGAUUGCACCACUGCACUCCAGCCUGGGUGAGAGUGAGACUCUGUCUCAAAAAAAAAAAAAAAAGGUAUUUCAAUUUUGAAAUACCAUAAAUAAUUUGGCCCAAAAUUUGUCCUCACCUUGGUGUGAGGUGAUAUAGGUCUUUGGAUAUAUGAUUUUAAAAAUUAAUAAGGUGACUUCUGUUUUCUGGUUUAGACUAUAAGGUGCUUAAAAGUCACCAUUCUGGCCAGGCAUGGUGGCUCAAACCUGUAAUCCCAGCACUUUGGGAGGCCGAGGCGGGCAGAUCACCUGAGGUCAGGAGUUCAAGACCAGACUGACCAACGUGGUGAAACCCAUCUGUACUAAAAAUACAAAAAUUAGCUGGUCAUGGUGGCACACACCUGUAAUCCCAGCUACUAGGGAGGCUGAGGCAGGAGAAUCGUUUGGAUCAAGGAGGCAGAGGUUGCAGUGAGCCGAGAUCACACCAUUGCACUCCGGCCUGGGUGACAUCUCAGAAAAAAAAAAAAAAAAAAAAAAAAGUCACCAUUCCAUCCAAACAACAAGUGAAAAACUAAAUAUACUGAAAAAUCAACAACUCUUCUUAGAUCCAUCAGCUCCUCACAGAGAUCUAUCAGUGAGGUCACAGGGGAGGCCACCGCCCCAAAAAUUGGAGAGAGAGGCAGAUACAGGGAAUCACAAUGUACCAGAGCAGAAGCCUGCACAGAAACCAGCACCAGGGUAAGAAAAUCUAAACUGUGACUGAUGAAGUGAUGGAGGCUCCAUGUGGAUAAGCCUGAGAGAUAAGAACACAAGGGGACCCAGUAAUAGGAUGGGACCCCACAUUUUUAUUUUACUUCCAGGGGUCUCACGAUGAAGAUAGAGAAAAAUCCCCUUGUGCUUCCCGCAGGAGGAGGGGAAAAGCAACCAUUUUGAAAUUUGCCUAAGUAUGCUGUUCGUAACAAAGACUGCUCUCGGUAGAAAUUAUUUUACCAGAGCUUAACUAGCUGGGGUUUUACUGGAGCUUAUCUGACCUGGGGGAGGGGGAAUACCCAACUCCAGCCCCCUUUAGCCACCCUGUCCCACCCAAGGAGGGCAAGGGGGUACUAAGAAGAAUUUGUGAAGUUCACAGGGCAGAGGCACAGGCUCACUGAGACUGAGACCUACUCAUAGGACUAUAGAACAUCCCCCUCCCCUGCACCUUCCAUGAUAUUACUAAAAGCCUAUUUACCACAGUAUCUUUUACCUAGUACCUCGUGUCCACCAUACAAUAAAAAAUUACAAAACAUACUAAAAGAUAAACAACAUAACCUGACGUGACUAAAAGAACAUCAGAACCAGAGCCAGAUUUGGAAGGAAGGUUGGCAUUAUCAGAGCACGAAUUUUGUACAACUGUGAUUUAUAUGCAAAGGGUUUUAAUUGAAAAAGUAGACAACAUGCAAGAACAGGUGGAUAAUGUAAGUAGAGAGAUAAAAAUUCUAAGAAUCUAAAGAAAUGCUAGAGAUAAAAAGCACAGAAAUGAAGAAUGCCUUUGAUGGGCUCGUUAGUAGACUGGCGAUGGCUAAGAAAAACAUAUCUGACCUUGAGUAUAUAAUGUUAGAAUCUUCCAAAACUGAAAAGCAAAGAGAAAAAAGACUGAAAACAACAGUGACAACAACAAGAAGAAGAACAAAAAAACAGAACAGAAUAUUCAAGAACUCUGAGACCACUGUAAAGUGUAACAUAUGUGUAAUGGGAAUUCCACAAAGGGAAGAAAGAGGAAAACAAACAGAAGCAGUAUCUGAAGCAAUAAUAACUGAGAGUUCCCCCAUAUUAAUGCCAGACACCAAACCAUAGAUCCAGGAAGCUCACAGACUUUCUCAGACAGACAAAAACUGAGGGAAUUUGUUGCCAGUAGACCUGCCUUGCAAGAAGUGUUGUUAAAAAUAAGUUCUCCAGAGAAAAAGAAAUUGAUAUAGGUCUAAAUAAAGAGCAUUGGAGAAGAAAUAAGUGAAGGUAACAUAAAAACUUUCAUUUUUCAUAUUCUUAGUUGAUCUAACAAAGUUUGUUAAAAAUAAUGCCAAUAAUAUAUGUUAUUUUACGUAUGUUUAUACAGAUGCACGCUUAUUUAUACUUAUGUGUAAGUGAAAUAAAUGGCAAAAAUGAUACAAGGCAUAGGAAGAAGAAAUUAGGAUUAUAUGCUAUGUAAGAAGCGGUAUAGUGUUUUUUGAAAAUAGACUUGAAUUAGUUGGAAAUCCAUAUUGAAAACUCUCGGGCAAACAUUGUUAAAAAAUAAAAAAAUGAUAUGCUAAGAAAGAAGAGAAAACGGAAUUACACAAAAUGCUCAAUUAAAACCACAAAAGGAAGCAAAAGUGUGGAAAACAAAAAGGGGAACAAAGAGUAAGGCAACAAACAGAAAACAGUAACAAAUAUGGUAAGCAUUAAUCCAACUAUAUUAAUAAUCACUUUAAAUAUCAAUGGUCUAAAUAUGUCAAUUAAAAGACAGAGAUUACCAGAGUGGACACAUUAUAUAAGCUGUAUCCAGUGAUUGAAGAAUACACAUUCUUUUCAAGUAUAUUUUCAAAAACCACACUUACAAACAUUUAUGGAAAUGUAUUAUAUAGGGCCAUGAAUCAAAUUCCAACAGAUUCCAACAGUUAAAUCAGGGAAAUGUUUUCUGACCUCAAUGCAAUUAAUCUAGGAAUUAAAGACAAACAUAUCUAGAAAAUAUCCAUCUGUUUGGAAAUUAAUAGAUGUGUUUCUGAAUAGCUAAUGGGACAAAGAAAAGAUUAGAAAACAUUUGGUCUUCUACACCAUAGUAAACAGGCCUUGUGUAUGGUAGUUAAACCAGUUCCCCUACAGGUAAAUAUGCCUUAAAGCAUAUAUUUAAAUGAAUGAGAUAAGUCUCCACUACAAGUAGAAAAAAAGAAUAAACUAUUAAUGCAUGCAACAACAUGGAUGGAUGGAUCUAAAAAUAAUUAGAUUGAAUAAAAGAAGUCAGAAAAAAGGAAUUCAUACUGUAUAAUUUUAUUUAUAUAAAAUUCUAAAAAAUAUUUGGAAAAUAUCCUUUGGAAAAAAUUCUAAAAAAUGCAAACUAAUCCAUAGUGACAGAAAGCUGAUCAGUACGUGUCUGAGAAGGAAGAUAAUAGGGGUUAUGAAGGGCACAGGAAAUACUGGGUGUGAGGAUGUGUUCAUGUUCCUCACUGUUGUCAUGGUUCCAGAGACGUAUACAUAGGGUAAAACAUAUCAAAUUAUAUACUAAUUUUGUAUAAUGUGUCAAUUAUAUCUAAAUUGUUAUUUAAAAGAUAAAUAAAAAGAUCAAAAACAUGAAUAAAAAUGAAAAGAAACAACAGUCCAUAGAAACAGACUCAAAAGGACUCCAAAUAAUUGAAUAUUCAGACAUAAACUUUAAAAUAGCUAUAUUUAGACUGCUUUAUCCAGCUAUGAUAAAGUAAUUUCUGGCAAACCAAUGUGCCCAAGAAAAUAACUAGAAAACUAGAUAAAAUGUGAUUGCAUCUACAUUGGAGCCUUCUUGAGGCAACCAAAACUUAAGAGGCUGAUUUCACAGAGGGAGGAAUUAUUGAAAGGUAAGUCAACCUUCUGCAGAUACAUUUUUCUCUCACUGGAUACAGCUGAAAGUCUGGACAAAGGAUACAGGCAAAAGGCCACUUCUGGGAAGCAGAGAAACCAGAGACCCUUUGGCCAUCUACCAGAUCUAGACAGACAAAAGUCAGAGACUUGAGGAUCCAAAAUCUCAGCGAGAAGAGAGAAGUAGAGAACAAAUGUUGACACAUGGCUGAUUUUUCCCUCAAGACAUUUGCCAAAUUAUGAAACUGUGUUAGAUUAGAAGUAAGAAAUUAAGAAAACUCUGAAAAAUAGAGUAUUCCUCAGUCUCACAGUGUCAAGGAGAAACAGUUGAAGUUCAGUCUUACAGGGAAGGGGCCUCAGUACCUAUUAGGUUGGCGCAAAAGUAAUUUCAGUUUUUGCCAUUACUUUUAAACCAAAAUUCCUUUUUCACCAACCUGAUACAUCAGGCUGCCUGGACUCGGCUUAGUUACUCAUCGGAUAAGGUAACCUGCCCCACUACGUCCACUUAGCAGACAGUGUAAAUCCAUUCUGUAGGAAGAUAAUAUUACCCAGACCCUUUACAAUUGUUCAUCUGCAAUGUCUGAAAUGCAACAGAUAUUAAAUAUUAAUAAAAUAUAUUAGGCAUACCAAGAGAUAGAACCAAAUGACCAAAAUCCAAGAGAAAAAAAAAUAGAAAGUAGAAACAACCCCAAAAGUGAUUCAGAUAUUAGAGUUAGCAGAAAAGGACUUUAAAAUAAGUACAAUUGCUAUGUGGAAAUGGACAUGGGAAAUUUUUUUAAUUAUAUAAAAAGAUGGAGAAUAUCAUCAGAGAAUUGGAAUCUAUUGAAAAGAAUCCAAUAAAAAUUCUAGCAAUGAAAAGUAUAAAUGCUGAAAUUAAGAACUUGAUAGAUAAAUUUAACAGAAGAUUAGAACACCAGAAGACAGGAUAAGAGAACUGAAAGAUGUAGAAAAUCUACAUUAGAAAAUAUGUAGACUGCAAUGCAAAAAAGUAAAAGGAUAGAACACACAGAAGAAAUGGUAAGAUACAGUAAAAAGGACUGGUAAGCAUUUAAUUGGAAUUAAGAAGGAAAGAAGAGAGAAAAUGGAACGGAAAAUGGGCAAAUAAUUUUUCACACUGUUAAAAGACUUUAAGUAAAAAUUAUAAUUCUAUAUUGUGGAUUUUAUAACAUUUAAAUUAUAUGUGACACUAUUAGCACAAUUGAUGAAGGCUAAGUAGAACCAUAAAGUUACGAGUUUCCUAUAUUUUAUGCAAAGUAGCAUAAUAUGUUAAAUCUAAGUGAUACAUUAAAGAUACAUGAUGCAGUCCCUAGAGCAAUCAUAAAAAAGAAAUUUAAAGGGAAUUAGGAUAAAUUCUGAUUAACACAUAAGGACACAGGUGAAAAAGAACAGAAAAACUAAACACAUAUGAGACAACUAGAAAACAAAUAGCAAAAUGGUUGCCCUAAAUAAAUCAUAUCAAUAAGUACUCUAAAUGUAAAUAGAAUAAUUCCAAUUUAAAAAGCAGAGAUUUUUCACACUGGAUUAACAAAGAAAGACCCAUCUAAUUGCUUUCCACAAGAGACAUAUUUUAAAUACAAAGACACAGAUAUAUGGAAAGUAAAAAAAUGGGAAAAGCAAUGCCAUGAAAACAAUCAGAAUAAAGAUAGAAGGACUAUACUCCUAACUUCAGACAAAAUAAACUUCAAGACAAAGAGUAUUACCAGAGAUAUAGAGAGACAUUUAUGAUUAAAGAAUCAAUCCAUCAGAAACACAUAAGGUAUAUGUGCUUAAGUCAAAUGUACAAUCAUAGUUGGAGUUAUUACACUGCUCUCUCAAAAUUUAACAGAAUAGGCUGGGCCAGUGGCUCACACCUGUAAUCCCAGCACUUUGGGAGUCCAGGGCAGCUGAUAGUUUGAGCUCAGGAGUUCAAGACUAGCCUGGGCAACACGGCAAGACUCCAUCUCUACAAAAAAAUUAAAAAUUAGCCAGGUGUGGUGGUAUGCACCUGUACUCCCAGCUAUUUGCUGGGGCUGAGGCAGGAGGAUCACUUGAGCCUGAGGGGUUGAGGCUACAGUGAGCCGGGAUCACAUCACUGCACUCCAGCAUGGGUGACAGAAUGAGACUCUGUCUCAGAAAAAAGGAGGUGGGGCCAGGCAUAGUGGCCCAUGCCUGUAAUCUCAGCACUUUGGGAGGCUGAGGCAGGCAGAUCACGAGGUCAGGAGUUCGAGACCAGCCUGGCCAAAAUGGUGAAACCCCAUCUCUAUUAAAAAUACAAAAAGUAGCCAGGCGUGGUGGUGUGCACCUGUAAUCCCAGCUACUCAGGAGGCUGAGGCAAGAGAAUUGCUUCAAUCCAGGAGGCGGAGAUUGCAGUGAGCCAAGAUCACGCCAUUGCACUCCAGCCUGGGUGACAGAGCAAGACUUCAUCUCAAAAAAAAAAAAAAGAAAAAAGAAAAAGAAAAAAGGAGGUGGGGGGAUUUAAUAGAAUAACAAAUAUUGAAGUAAGGAUGUAAACCACCUAAGCAACAUCAUCAACCAUCUUGAUCUCAUUGAUAAAUUAUAAAGUACUCAACAACUGCAGAAUAUACAUUCUUUUGAAGUGCACAUAGAACAUUCAUCAAGAUAAACUGUUAUGCUGGGACAUAAAAUGAGUCUCAAAAAUUUCUAAAAGAUCAAAACAUUAGAGUAUGUUCUCUUACAGAUAUGGAAUUAAACCAAAAAUCAACAAAAAAGAUAUCUAGAAAAUCCCCAAGUAUUUGGAAAUUAAACAAUAGAUUUCAAAAUUACCCAGAAUCAAAGAAUAAAUUAUAAGAGAAACUAGAAAAUAUUUUCAUUUAAGUGAUGAUUUAAAAAUAUCCAAAAUUUUUGUAUGCAACUGAAGCUUAGCUCAGUAGCAAGCAAAGCUCAGUAGGAGGUUUAUAAUUUUAAAUGCUUAUAUUAGAAAAGAAGAAAGAUUACUAUUUAUGAUCAAAGUUUUUACAUUAAUAAGAUAGAAAAAGAAAAGCAAAUUUAAGUAGAAACAAGAUAAUAAAAAGAAGUGUGUAUGUAAAUCAGUAAAAUUUUAAAAUGACAAAACGAUUGAGAAAAUUAAUAAAAUUGAUAACUCCAUUU
rnacentral:lncRNA from 10 species